rnacentral:rRNA from 1 species
AUGGAAGAUGUGCGCCUACCUGAUAACGCUCAGGGUGCAGUGUCUACAAGCUCUCAGGAAUGUGAGGUGGUUUGUCUGAAUAGUUGCUCUUGCACAGCUUACACUUACAAUUACACUGGGUGCUUUGUUUGGCAUGGGGACCUGAUUAAUCUCCAAGAACAAUACAGGGGAAUUGGAGGAGGCACACUCCUCCUCAGGCUUGCAGCAUCCGAGCUGCCAGAUCAGCAAAGGAACAAAACAAUGGUCAUUGGUUCAAUUGUUGGUGGGGUUGCUGCAGUUUUGAUAACCCUUGCAAUUGUGUUGUUCUUUCUAUCUCGGACGUGCCGCCGAGACAGGACUUUUCGGAUAUCCAAGACUGACUUCAGAUACAGUGAUCUGCUGGAUGAUAUUCAAAGCAUUGAUUCACUUCUUCUUGAUCUGUCAACACUAAGAGUAGCUACAAAUGACUUUGGUGAAGGAACUAUGCUUGGUAAAGGAGGUUUUGGGAUGGUUCAUAAGGGAGUCCUGCCUGACGGUAAACAAAUAGCAGUAAAAAGGCUAUGUAAGAGUUCCAAACAAGGAAUAGGGGAACUGAAAAGUGAACUAGUCCUGGUUGCUAAGCUUCGCCACAGGAAUCUUGUGAGCCUCAUUGGUGUUUGUUUGGAAGAACAAGAGAAAAUACUUGUGUAUGAAUUUAUGCCCAACAGAAGCCUUGAUACCAUUCUUUUUGAUUCUGAGAAAUGCAAAGACCUAGACUGGGGAAGGAGAUUCAAGAUUAUCAGUGGAGUUACUAGGGGAUUACAAUAUCUCCACGAAGAUUCUCAAUUGAAGAUAGUUCACCGGGACCUGAAAGCAAGCAAUAUUUUGUUGGACCUCGAUUGUAACCCUAAGAUUUCUGACUUUGGCUUAGCAAAGAUAUUUGGAGGGGAUCAAUCAGAAGAUGUCACUAGACGUAUUGCCGGGACAUAUGGAUAUAUGUCGCCUGAAUAUGCCAUGCAUGGUCAAUACUCAGCAAAGUCGGACGCGUUCAGCUUCGGUGUUUUAGUUUUGGAGAUCGUCACGGGAAGAAGAAACAACGGCUCCUGCAACUCCGGGCAAUAUGUUUAUCUCGUAAAUCUUGUAUGGGAACACUGGACCAGGGGAAAUGUUGUCGAGUUGAUCGAUCCAUCCCUUAGCGGCCAUCCUUCUCACGUUGACCAGGUGCUGAAAUGCAUCCGAAUCGGGCUGCUGUGUGUGCAGAACAGACCUGAAGAUAGGCCGACAAUGUCGUCCGUGAAUGUCAUGCUCAGCAACCAGAGUGCUCGUCUCCCUUCUGUUUCCAUGCCAGCCUUCUCUGACGGAUGUAGUGGAUGCAGUGAUAAUACUUCAAAAGUGGCGUCCUCGAAUGGAAUGACCAUCACAAAGCUCGAGCCAAGAUGA